ensembl:ncRNA F01G12.10 ncRNA
ACUUUUUUACUUGUUGAAAUAUGUAAUGAAAUAUGUAAACUGAUUUUUUUUGAGUAUGACAAAUUAUAAUUAGAAUUUUUUUCAGUAGAUUUGAAAC